rnacentral:rRNA from 1 species
GACGUAGGGCGCGAGCGUUGUCCGGAUUUAUUGGGCGUAAAGAGCUCGUAGGCGGCUUGUCGCGUCGACUGUGAAAUCUCAGGGCUCAACUCUGACAUUGCGGUCGAUACGGGCAGGCUAGAGUUCGGUAGGGGAGACUGGAAUUCCUGGUGUAGCGGUGAAAUGCGCAGAUAUCAGGAGGAACACCGGUGGCGAAGGCGGGUCUCUGGGCCGAUACUGACGCUGAGGAGCGAAAGCGUGGGGAGCGAACAGG